CGGUUAGUAAGUUGGUCAUGCCUCUGGUAUGUACUGAUCUCACUGAUUCCUCCUUCCUGAUGAGCCGUAAUGCCAUUAAUUUGGUGUUGCGGGGAAUCAGGACUGUUACUUUGAAAAAAUUAGAGUGUUUAAAGCAGGCUCACGCUUGAAUACAUUAGCAUGGAAUAAUGAAAUAGGACGUUUGAUCCUAUUUUGUUGGUUUCUAGGAUUGACGUA
rnacentral:rRNA from 1 species